UCCGUGUCCCUAUGGCCUAUUGUGUGUCUGUGUGUUUUGAACAAUGUUUCCUAAACAAUUUCUAAAACUUUGAGUCCCCUCAUUCCCACACACAUAUCAGCUAAGCUCCUUUUACUUCAAUUAGUUCACCUUUUCCGUUUUCAACACGUCCGUCACACCUUUGCCCACAAUCACCAUUUCGGAGGAAACAAUUUGUUAUUUACAUUACAUGCGGGCAACAACAACAACGACGACACCAUCCAUGCAGCAGUCAUUGUUGUCAUACAGGGAGCCAGCCAAAGAUAACAAUUUCUGUUCUCCCCUAGCUAGGAUAGCUGCUACGAUACGAGUCAUGCGGAGAGCAGAGCAAAGAACAUGUUUUUAAUUCAUCCCUAGCUAGCUGGGGAGGAGCCAGUCCCCUACCAUCAUGCAAGGUGUAUAAAAAUACAACAAUGUCGUCGGUUGUUUGUGUUAUCCUUUUUCUUCAUGAUGUUGAUGUUGUGAUGAUCUAGAUACCUUAUCCAAAGGAUAUCACUCGGAAUGAAGUAGAAAAAUACUGCAAGAGUACUACAAUAGGAGGACAACAAUACACUCACUGCCAAACACACCACCUUGAGAUAUAAAUUCAAUACAAUACUAGGACUUAACACAACGACAACAACGAGGACGAUACAAUAAAACAGCAACCUAUGAAUAAUGGGAAAGUGUAAUCCUCUGGGAUGAAUAAAAAAUGGAAAUACAUAUCUAGAUGACCUAAGAUGUUUUUGUAAACAAGAUAAAAGAAAAUCUGUACAAGGGAGAUAUUUUGUUCCGUAGCUGAUGCUGCUGCUGCAGAUGUAUUGGCUGACAUUUUCGACA